GCGGAGCUAUCUGACAGAUG
rnacentral:misc_RNA from 1 species